rnacentral:lncRNA from 1 species
AGACACGGAAAGGCAUAAAUGAGAUCAGAUCCACAGACCCAAGCAGCAGUAGGAGAGAAAGACAUUCGUACCAAUGCCUGGAGACUCAAAGAAAGACCCAUAGACAUUAUUAAUAGUGAAACUCACUUUUAAUUGUCAUAACAUUAGCCCUCUUUAAUUGUCAUAAUAUUAGCACAGGGACCUAGACAGUGCACCAGAUAUAGUAAGUACUUUGGGACUGAUAAUAAUAACUAAGAAAACAUGAGGCUGGAAUUCAUUUCAGCUCUGAGAUAACAUCCAGAAGCUUCUGAAACGUCUUAUAUAAAAGUGCAGCCAAGUGAAGAAAUGCAGUUCCGUUCAACAUUCGGUCUUUUCAGCUUGUCAAUCAGCAUGUGCAAACGUUUGCUUUGAAGUGGCAGGAAACAUCAACAAAGGAGCUCAUUUAAACUUUUUAAGAAAGAUUGGAAGUCUAGCUGAACUGCUAGAUUCCUCAGCCCUUGUCUCAUGGAUGAAGUAGUGGGUAGAGUGAAGAAGCUGAAAAAACUUGGAGAUACUGUACUUAUUUACAUAAGAAAAGGCUUGAGUUCUCCAAAAAGGAAAACUCCCAAAGCAACAGCAAGGAGAGGAAAAAGCAAGCCAGAGAAUCAGGAGUGUCUAAGAGAAAGCCAGGGGGUCCUGGAGCAUUUAAGAGAAAGCCAGUUGGUCCUGGGAGGAACUGGAGGAGCCAGAGCCGGUGCUAGCAGUGCGGGGCUUCAAGGAGCUGAAUCGCAGAGGGGUUUCCAGGCUGUUCCAUUGUAUGUUAUAUGAUGUAACCCCCUUCAAACGACUUCGGUAAAGACUCACGUUACAUUUCAAGGCUUGUGGAACAAAGCAGAAGUGUUCUUUUCUUAUGUGUUAUUGUCUUGGCCUGAUUCAUAAAGCAGGAGUAUGAUAGCGCAAAUUAUUGGAGUGGUGUGCAGAAAGGUCACAUACGGCGGUGCUGGCAUUUAAGGCUCUGCUCUCUUGCAUGAAAAGUGACUGAAAUGGCACAAAACCUGGCAAGUGCAUUUAACCCUAACCCACAUGUGCUUACAAGCAUGACUGAUGGACUCCCACCUAAGUGCCACUCAAGCCUGCUCCCGCUCCUCAGUGCCUCAAGUGGAUGCUGAGGCUCCAGCCAGGCAUCACUGCAGUGACCAGUGACCACAGAGCACUGCCAGGUCUGUCGCCUACCUCUCCACGGCUUCACCACCUCACACAGACCCCACCAUACUGCUCCCGGGAAGAAAUACCCCCAAAAAUGUAUGACUGUCUCUGAAAUUGUGCAUGAUUCAUUUUCUUCCUUAGGUUUUUUCUGUAUUUGCCAAAUAUGCUGUGUUAAGUAAAUCAUAUAUGAUUUUGGUACAAUUUUUAAAAACUGGUUUUUCUCCCCAGUUCCUUGCACAGAACACCUAAAACCCUUGGAAUUUAUUGAGACACAGCAGUAUCUUUUGUUAUUAAUGCUGAUCCCCUUUGGAUCACCCCAGAGUUUGUGCUAAUGAAGUAACUUUGGGUGGGGCCCCUAGAUAGUCUCCCUUGGGUCUGGUCACCAGAAAGAGCAAGUGAUUGUAGAGCUGGAAUUUUCAUCCCCACUCACAGACCUCCAGGAUGUUGGGGAAUUGGGGAUGGCUAGAGAUUAAGCUCUAUAAAAACUCUUGAACAAAGAGAUUUGAUAAGCUUCUGGGUGGCUGAGCAUGUGAAGGUGCUGGGAGGAGGCACUCUGAAAGGGCUGGAAGCUCCGAGUCCCACCUCCAUAUCUUGCCCAAUGCAUCUCUUGACUUAGUUUUCCUA